rnacentral:rRNA from 1 species
UACGUAGGGUGCAAGCGUUAAUCGGAAUUACUGGGCGUAAAGCGUGCGCAGGCGGUUGUGCAAGACCGAUGUGAAAUCCCCGGGCUUAACCUGGGAAUGGCAUUGGUGACUGCACGGCUAGAGUGUGUCAGAGGGGGGUAGAAUUCCACGUGUAGCAGUGAAAUGCGUAGAGAUGUGGAGGAAUACCGAUGGCGAAGGCAGCCCCCUGGGAUAACACUGACGAUCAUGCACGAAAGCGUGGGGAGCAAACAGG